UAAAAAUAUAAAAAAAUUUAUCUUUUUCUUGUCAGAUACUUUAUUGUGAAAGAAACCAAACCCAUCUUUCUCAUCCCCAAAAUCUUGUCUUUAAUCUUUCCUCAUUGCCAAAUUAGUUACCGAAUUCAAAGCAAUUUAAUAUUAAAACAAUUAUAUCUUUCCCUCUUUUCACUCACACAAUCAAAUCAGUUAUAAUAUUAAUUAAGAUUUGAAUUUCAAGAGAUUUUUCUCUCCAAUAAACUAAUUUAUGAUUUGUAGAUAUUUUCAUCUUCUUCAAUUUUCUUCUUCGUUUUUUCUUGUUUCAUCAUUUUGUCUAAUACAUAUAAACUCCUUCAUGUUGGAUUGGAAUUAUCCAAAUAGUUACACCUAAUAAGAAUCAAAUCUUUGAUUAUGAUAAUCUCCAAUGGACAAAAAAAAAAUCUUAAAGGUUACAUGAUCCUUUAACAAUGGCAAAUCAAAGUUCAGAAAAGGCAAAAGCGAAAAAGGAUGUACCCCCAGCAGAAAGCAAAAGUUGAAAAACAACGAAAAAAUAAGCAAAAAGGUUACCUACACUAUCCAGGUGACUGUGAAAUAUUUUUUGUUGUUUUUAUUGAACUUCUGAGCGACGAAAUCAGCAUCCCAUCUAAUGAUUUUCAAAGUGACUAUCUUCGUACAAGUCAUGCAACAAUGUCAUGUAUGGUCUCAACAAGGCCAAGACGGGAUAUGUUAGCGAGAAUGAUGAUCCUACAAGGCCGAAGAAUGACUACACCCCACCAAUAAAAGUUAAUCUUGUCAAUUUAGAAUAGAUUUUUAUGUAUCGAUUCACCGACAGUUCUCUAUGAUCUAUUGUUUUUAAGAUACAUUAAUUAGUGUUUUGAGUAUUGCUUCCCUAGAUACUACUUCUAAAUGUGAAAAGUUUUUAUAUCGAAAAUUGUUUAUUUCAUUUU